rnacentral:rRNA from 1 species
UACAGAGGUCUCAAGCGUUGUUCGGAUUCAUUGGGCGUAGAGGGUGCGUAGGUGGCGCCGUAAGUCGGGUGUGAAAUUUCGGAGCUUAACUCCGAAACUGCAUUCGAUACUGCGGUGCUUGAGGACUGGAGAGGAGACUGGAAUUCAUGGUGUAGCAGUGAAAUGCGUAGAGAUCAUGAGGAAGACCAGUGGCGAAGGCGGGUCUCUGGACAGUUCCUGACACUGAGGCACGAAGGCCAGGGGAGCAAACGGG